CUUUAGGUCAGAGAUGUAAACAGUUAAUCAAUCACCUCUGCUACACGAACAUUCCACAAUUGCUCAAAAAUCAGUGUACAUUUUGUUAGUUUAAAAUAUAUUAUGAUUAAAUAAAGUUAAUAAUGGCAAACAAUUAAUAAAACCGCACAGUGGGAAGAUUUACAGCAAAAGAAUAGCCUCUGCGAAACAAGCUGGCAGAAGGAGGAGGAGAGGAAAGCAGAGGAAACUGAAUUGUUCACAAAGUAUUAUAGCGAAUGAAAAGGAGGCAAAAAAAAAGAAGAUGACUAAUUUAAACACAUCCCAUGCUUCUACUACGGUACUGGCUUCCUGCAGAAGAUGAAGUCUUGCUGCAGAAGCUCAGAGAAGAAUCGAGGGCAGUGUUUCUCCAGAGGAAAAGCCGGUAACUACUGAACAAUGAAGAGUUACAGCAUCAAGUGCCGCCCACGAGUGGUGACGAGGCCAUGAUCAGUUAUAAGAGUUUCCUAAAGGUUGGAGAAAAAGCAGGUGCCAAAUGCAAGUGCGUGCAUCAUAGAAAAGUGUAUCAAUGAUUGUCACUCGAAACCAUGAGUAUGACAGGCUGAAAACUGUUUUUCUUCACCGCCCAAGUCUACGCCAAACUACUUCAUAAUGAUCCAUAUGGGAGGAUAUCAAUUAUGCAGUUCUUCAAUUAUGUCAUGAGAAAAGUGUGGCUGCACCAGACCAGGAUUGGUUUGAGUCGUUAUGAUGUAGCAGGUCAGGCUUAUCUCUGAGUCUGAUUUGGAGUUAAUUCCCACACUCCCCCAAUCUUUCUACUCAUUUUAUGUUUGCACUGCUGUUCACAAGUUCUUCUUCUUCCUUGAUCCUCUACAUACUGGUAAUUCUCCUGUGGUUGUGCUGGUACAAUUCGCAUUUUGAUUUACGUCAGAGCACCUGCAGACAUUAUUUAGAUUUUACCCUGCGGAUAAACUGGAAUGAAAAGAAGAAUCAUUCUAAUGUUUUGUAACACAAAUUAAUUAAGGCAAACAGUCAUUGUAUAAAGCAGUCUAUUAACCUGUAUGGAGAUGGGUGUUUUGGGUCAUAAAAUGAUCAAAAUUUUGUGUCUAUAGGAUGAAAUCUUUUAUAUGGUGAAGUUUAAAAAUCCAUGUUAAGAUCAUACUACAGGACCUGGUGACCAUCGCUCAGGGUGAAACUGUCACUAGCAUCCUCAUCGACCUCAAUGGCUUCUGGACUUAUGACAUAGACAGCAACACAGUUGAUUUAGAUGACACGUGACAUCAUUCCAUGAACAAAUCAAGUUGUGCUAUUGGACCAAUUGAGCUACUCUGAACGAGGAAAAAAAAAAUCAGCCAAGAGGAAUACACAGAACAGCUCAUUUGUAU